rnacentral:rRNA from 1 species
GGGACCUUCGGGCCUCAUGCCAUCAGAUGUGCCCAGAUGGGAUUAGCUAGUAGGUGGGGUAACGGCUCACCUAGGCGACGAUCCCUAGCUGGUCUGAGAGGAUGACCAGCCACACUGGAACUGAGACACGGUCCAGACUCCUACGGGAGGCAGCAGUGGGGAAUAUUGCACAAUGGGCGCAAGCCUGAUGCAGCCAUGCCGCGUGUGUGAAGAAGGCCUUCGGGUUGUAAAGCACUUUCAGCGGGGAGGAAGGCGAUAAGGUUAAUAACCUUGUCGAUUGACGUUACCCGCAGAAAAAGCACCGGCUAACUCCGUGCCAGCAGCCGCGGUAAUACGGAGGGUGCAAGCGUUAAUCGGAAUUACUGGGCGUAAAGCGCACGCAGGCGGUCUGUCAAGUCGGAUGUGAAAUCCCCGGGCUCAACCUGGGAACUGCAUUCGAAACUGGCAGGCUAGAGUCUUGUAAAGGGGGGUAGAAUUCCAGGUGUAGCGGUGAAAUGCGUACAGAUCUUUAAGAGUACCGAUGGCCAAGGGUGCCCCCUCGAGUUGGACC